UAUCAAUAAGCGGAGGAAAAGAAACCAACAGGGAUUGCCCUAGUAACGGCGAGUGAAGCGGCAACAGCUCAAAUUUGAAAUCUGGCGCAAGCCCGAGUUGUAAUUUGUAGAGGAUGCUUCUGGGUAGCGGCCGGUCUAAGUUCCUUGGAACAGGACGUCACAGAGGGUGAGAAUCCCGUAUGUGAUCGGCCCGCGCCCUCUACGUAGCUCCUUCGACGAGUCGAGUUGUUUGGGAAUGCAGCUCUAAAUGGGAGGUAAAUUUCUUCUAAAGCUAAAUACCGGCCAGAGACCGAUAGCGCACAAGUAGAGUGAUCGAAAGAUGAAAAGCACUUUGGAAAGAGAGUUAAAAAGCACGUGAAAUUGUUGAAAGGGAAGGGCUUGCAACCAGACUUGACGGCGGUGUUCCCCCGGGCUUCUGCCCGGGUUAUUCACCGUCGGCAGGCCAUCAUCGUCUGGGGCCGCUGGAGAAACCGUCAGGAAUGUGGCUCCCUCGGGAGUGUUAUAGCCUGUCGACAUGCAGCGUGCCCCGGGCGAGGUCCGCGCUUAGGCAAGGAUGAUGGCGUAAUGGUUGUCAGCCGCCCGUCUUGAAACACGGACCAAGGAGUCUAACAUCUAUGCGAGUGUUCGGGUGUCAAACCCCUACGCGUAAUGAAAGUGAACGGAGGUGGGAGCUUCGGCGCACCAUCGACCGAUCCUGAUGUCCUCGGAUGGAUUUGAGUAAGAGCAUAGCUGUUGGGACCCGAAAGAUGGUGAACUAUGCCUGAAUAGGGUGAAGCCAGAGGAAACUCUGGUGGAGGCUCGCAGCGGUUCUGACGUGCAAAUCGAUCGUCAAAUUU
rnacentral:rRNA from 1 species